GAUGAACGCUAGCGGGAGGCUUAACACAUGCAAGUCGAGGGGCAGCAUAGGGUAGCAAUACUCUGAUGGCGACCGGCAAACGGGUGAGUAACGCGUAUGCAACCUACCCUGUACAGGGGGAUAACCCGGAGAAAUUCGGACUAAUAUCCCGUAAUAAUAUCCGGAGGCAUCUUUGGAUAUUUAAAGUUCCGACGGUACGGGAUGGGCAUGCGUAACAUUAGCUGGUUGGUAAGGUAACGGCUUACCAAGGCUAUGAUGUUUAGGGGUCCUGAGAGGGUGGUCCCCCACACUGGUACUGAGACACGGACCAGACUCCUACGGGAGGCAGCAGUGAGGAAUAUUGGUCAAUGGGCGCAAGCCUGAACCAGCCAUCCCGCGUGCAGGAAGACGGCCCUAUGGGUUGUAAACUGCUUUUCCAGGGAGAGAAACUUACGCACGUGUUGCGUGACUGACGGUACCCUGGGAAUAAGCAUCGGCUAACUCCGUGCCAGCAGCCCGGUAAACACGAGAGUA
rnacentral:rRNA from 1 species